rnacentral:piRNA from 1 species
UAACAGCCGCUAGAGACUCCUUCUGU